rnacentral:piRNA from 2 species
UACAGGUUGUUGGUGAUCUGUGAGAGGUC